CUUGGUCGAGGAGUCACUGUUCUUUCUGAACCUGGGGCAGAGUGGCAGGGGCAGUGAUUGAAAUGUCACUAUCAACCCCAGCAAAGGGUGGAUGCUGGACUGGAGUUAGGGAGUGGAAAACGGCACAGUGCCCUUCAGGAGUCUGUAAGGGCAGUGGGGAGCUUAUGCUUCAAGUGAUGAAGAGGAGAAGACAAGGAACCAAACUGGUCAGAUGUUGGAUGAGACAUGAGAACCUGGGAGAGUCUGCGGAGCUGGGAACAGAGCAACCAUGGUGGAAUAGAGGCAAAGGAAAUGAACAAGGUCUUCAAUUCCCUGUGUCGCUCCUUGCUGUGUCCCCUGGACCCUAAGAGUAACGGCUCUCUGCUCCUGAAUGUGAGAGGCCCCAUCAGCCGCCUCAAGAUUCCAGGCAACUGCAGCAGCUGUCACAAAGCGUCGUGUGGCAUUGAGGAAUGUGGUCAGAAAGCCGCUAAAUGAAAAAAGGGUCUCAGGAAGGCAAGAAGGAGGGAACGGCCCUAAGUGCCAUGUGAGGAAUGGGGCUUUUUCAAAUCAACUCCUCUAAAGAACCACUUCCCUGAAUCUGUUGAAAGUGUAAAGUUUUCACCCUGCAAAUCAGAGAAGUUCAAGUUUAUACUCUAGGUAAAGAAGGUUUCCUUAAAGUAGGCCAGCAGCUGCAGCUCUCAGAAGAAAAAGAGGAAGACAAUACAUUUUCUUGCUUCGGUUCUGCGGUGGCAGGUGCACACCAAGGGGCAUGGCCUCCAGAAGGAACAGGGGCUUGGCUGGAGAACUGUCAAUUAAUCAUCCAGGAGAAUGCCCCUGACAGCAGGGAGAAAACUCCCAUUCAUUUCCUCAGGAUUGUGCUGCGGCCACUAAAUGCAAUGUUUCUACAAAUAAGAAUUCAUCUGCUCCUGGCUCCGGGGGUCAUUUGUUUGCUCCUGUGUGUUGUGGAACAAGACCUGCUCUGCAACCACACAGGCCUGUGCUGCGGCCUCGAACACAGUUAGUGCAUUCCCAUCUAGUUUUCCUCUUACUGUGCCCUAUUUUGAAUGUACCCCCCUCCUCUCAUCUCGGCCUCAUGUAAAUUCUAUGCGUCCUUUACAACCCCACCAAGUUCCACUUCCUCCUGCAGCCACAUCUUUUGAUUUCUUUCCCCUUUACCCUAUUUUGUAAGUCAAGUGAUCAUGUAUUAUAUGUAUAAUGAUAAAUAGUAAAAACCUGGCAUUAAAAAUGCCCCACUUUCCCAUUUACUAUCUGUACCACCUUGAGGAAGUAGUCACUUCACCUCUUUGAGCCUCUGGUUCCUUAUCUUUAAGGUGGGGAUUUCAUCUAAUUCAGAGUGAUUAUGAGUGUUGGAAGAGAUAACCUAUGAAAAUUCUCCCAGGCCUCUUUGGCCAUCAUAAUUGCAAAGUAAAUAGCAGUUGAUUCUGAAACUGCUGUCCUCAGGAUGGUUCAGACGCUAGAGUCUGGCAUUUUAAAAUCAUUUCUGUGAGGGUGGGCAGGGGGUGGGGGAUGGUUACACAAGCUCCCUGGGAUGCAAGCUCUGUAGGGCACAGCCCUUGUCAGAAUGGGCUUGAGUAGAAUGGGCUCCUCAUUAGCACCAACUGAAUAUUCCACCCCAUGGUUUUAAUUACUUUUUUUCUUCUAGAUUUACAUUUUGUCUCCCAACUGCAUUAUACUCUUCUUGGGGUCAGGAGGACGGCUUUUACAGAAUUUAUGUUCCACCCAAAGUCUCUGCCCUAUUAAGUGCUCAAUAAAUCUCCUGGCUCAUGGAAAACAUUGUUAUGGAUAGCACACUGUGAUGUGUACUUCCUUCCCUGGACUGCUUAUUGUUCACCAUUCACAACAUCUGAUUUAUAUGUAUGUUUGGCAAUUAAUUGCUAUGUGCCAUCUACCAUUUAAAACCCAAGCAGAGAGAAAUUGUGCUUAUAAGAAAAAAAAAAUAGAAAGAAAAGUCAUACUUUUCAUGUUUAUAAAAUACGAAUUCUGGAGUUGAUGUCUUUACCACACUAGAGUAAAUUGGUCCUUUAAUUGUUCAAGAUUUCCACAUCAAUAAAUAACUUUAUUUAUAAAAACUCUCCUCUUGUAUAAGGUGAUGUCAGGUACACUGAUGCAAUCAAGAAAUGCUCUCUCUGGACUCUCAAUGUGGUGCCCUUGGAAAAUCAGUUCAAUUUGGUAUUCUCACAUAGGACGGUAGAGACAAUGAAGACUGCUUAGUUGGAUCUUCAUGGUUGACUUUAGAUAUUUACCUCAAUUACUGGAAAUAAUCACUUAAAGACUUCUAAUUGAGCCUUUCUCUUGCCCUCUGACCUCUUCACAAGGUAUAUGAUAUGGAUUAGAAUUAACAUUAUUUAACGUUUUAAUGAUAAAUCUCAGUCUUCAGUGAAAGAUCCUAUAAAUCUGUUUUCUCAAUCCUGGCUACCCAUUAGAAUCACUUGGAAUUAAAAAACAAAACAAAACAAAACAAAAAACAAAACAAACAAACAAAAAAACAGUACUCUGGCUCUAUCCCAGACCAAAUGAAUCAGAAUCUCUGGCAAUGAUAUUUUCCUGAAACUCCCUGGGUGCUUCUCCUACGCAGCCGGGGCUGAGACUCACUGCUGAAUCAUGGAGAAAAUGUUACAGAACUAGCUGCCAAAGUCUUCCUUCAUUUCCUCAUUAUCAAUAAGCCUCUAUAGGAUAGACACUGUUUGAAUAUAGUAGUAGUUCAAUUGUAGACGCCAAUAUUUUAAUUAUUGGCUACUGGCUAAUCUGACUGAGUUCUACAAGUAAACAUGGCAAUUUAGCUUCUCCUGGGUCAGAAAAAGAGUUCGUUUAUUCUGCCUAUGUGCUCUGUUUGUGGCAUCAAAGACUGUUUUGGGAAGAACAUUUUAAUUACUCUCCUUGAAGGAUCCCUGAAAGAUCCUAAAUAUGUUUUAAAAAAUCUAAUUUUCCUUAAAGCAACUCCUUUCUACUCCUUCUUUCUUUUUCAUAAUUAUUUGGUAGUUCUUAAACAUUUUCUUUUCAUAAGUUUAAAAUUCUGUUGUUUAAUUUCAUAAAGAAUCUUAGAGUUUUAAUGUAAAUGUGUUGCACUUGUAGAUUAAAUUGGGGUAAGAAUUAAAAUACUUAUAUAAUUUAUAAACACAAUAAAA
rnacentral:lncRNA from 1 species